CCAUACAACCGUACCGCAAACCGACACUGGUGCGCGAGAUGAGUAUUCUAAGGCGCUUGAGAGAACUCAGGAGAAGGAACUCGGCAAAUUGACACCGUAACUUCGGAAGAAGGUGUGCCCUAUUAGUGUGUAGUGAACAACGAAGCAUGAAUGGGUUGCAAAAAAUCGGUGGCUGCGACUGUUUAUUAAAAACACAGCACUCUGCAAACACGAAAGUGGACGUAUAGGGUGUGACGCCUGCCCGGUGCUGGAAGAUUAAAUGAUGGGGUGCAAGCUCUUGAUUGAAGUCCCAGUAAACGGCGGCCGUAACAAUAACGGUCCUAAGGUAGCGAAAUUCCUUGUCGGGUAAGUUCCGACCUGCACGAAUGGCGUAACGAUGGCCACACUGUCUCCUCCUGAGACUCAGCGAAGUUGAAAUGUUUGUGAUGAUGCAAUCUCCCCGCGGAAAGACGGAAAGACCCCAUGAACCUUUACUGUAGCUUUGUAUUGGACUUUGAACAGAUCUGUGUAGGAUAGGUGGGAGGCUUUGAAGCAGGGUCGCUAGAUCUUGUGGAGCCAACGUUGAAAUACCACCCUGGUGUGUUUGAGGUUCUAACCUAGGUCCAUUAUCUGGAUCGGGGACAGUGCAUGGUAGGCAGUUUGACUGGGGCGGUCUCCUCCCAAAGCGUAACGGAGGAGUUCGAAGGUACGCUAGUUACGGUCGGACAUCGUGACGAUAGUGCAAUGGCAUAAGCGUGCUUAACUGCGAGACUGACAAGUCGAGCAGAUGCGAAAGCAGGACAUAGUGAUCCGGUGGUUCUGUAUGGAAGGGCCAUCGCUCAACGGAUAAAGGGUACUCUGGGGAUAACAGGCUGAUACCGCCCAAGAGUUCAUAUCGACGGCGGUGUUUGGCACCUCGAUGUCGGCUCAUCUCAUCCUGGGGCUGUAGCCGGUCCCAAGGGUAUGGCUGUUCGCCAUUUAAAGAGGUACGUGAGCUGGGUUUAAAACGUCGUGAGACAGUUUGGUCCCUAUCUUCCGUGGGCGCUGCAGAUUUGAGGAAGCCUGCUCCUAGUACGAGAGGACCGGAGUGGACACACCUCUGGUGUAUCGGUUGUCACGCCAGUGGCAUUGCCGAGUAGCUAAGUGUGGAAGAGAUAACCGCUGAAAGCAUCUAAGCGGGAAACUCGUUUCAAGAUGAGAUCUGCCGGGGCCUUGAGCCCCCCAAAGAGC
rnacentral:rRNA from 1 species